GAUGAACGCCGGCGGCGUGCCUAAUACAUGCAAGUCGAGCGAACGGACGAGAAGCUUGCUUUUCUGAUGUUAGCGGCGGACGGGUGAGUAACACGUGGAUAACCUACCUAUAAGACUGGGAUAACUUCGGGAAACCGGAGCUAAUACCGGAUAAUAUUUUGAACCGCAUGGUUCAAAAGUGAAAGACGGUCUUGCUGUCACUUAUAGAUGGAUCCGCGCUGCAUUAGCUAGUUGGUAAGGUAACGGCUUACCAAGGCAACGAUGCAUAGCCGACCUGAGAGGGUGAUCGGCCACACUGGAACUGAGACACGGUCCAGACUCCUACGGGAGGCAGCAGUAGGGAAUCUUCCGCAAUGGGCGAAGGCCUGACGGAGCAACGCCGCGUGAGUGAUGAAGGUCUUCGGAUCGUAAAACUCUGUUAUUAGGGAAGAACAUAUGUGUAAGUAACUGUGCACAUCUUGACGGUACCUAAUCAGAAAGCCACGGCUAACUACGU
rnacentral:rRNA from 1 species